rnacentral:tRNA from 1 species
GGAGCGGUAGUUCAGUCGGUUAGAAUACCUGCCUGCUGUCGCACCGCGAAGGGGUCGCGGGUUCGAGUCCCGUCCGUUCCGCCA